ACUCUGCUGAGUGUAAAGUUAUAUAAUCGGUUUAUUACCGAACACUCCAUUGUAUUCUUUACACGAAACCGAUUG